rnacentral:rRNA from 1 species
CCUAAGGUAGCGAAAUUCCUUGUCGGGUAAGUUCCGACCCGCACGAAAGGCGUAACGAUUUGGGCACUGUCUCAACGAGAGACUCGGUGAAAUCAUAGUACCUGUGAAGAUGCAGGUUACCCGCGACAGGACGGAAAGACCCCGUGGAGCUUUACUGUAGCCUGAUAUUGAAAUUCGGCACAGCUUGUACAGGAUAGGUAGGAGCCUUUGAAACGUGAGCGCUAGCUUACGUGGAGGCGCUGGUGGGAUACUACCCUAGCUGUGUUGGCUUUCUAACCCGCACCACUUAUCGUGGUGGGAGACAGUGUCAGGCGGGCAGUUUGACUGGGGCGGUCGCCUCCUAAAAGGUAACGGAGGCGCUCAAAGGUUCCCUCAGAAUGGUUGGAAAUCAUUCAUAGAGUGUAAAGGCAUAAGGGAGCUUGACUGCGAGACCUACAAGUCGAGCAGGGUCGAAAGACGGACUUAGUGAUCCGGUG